rnacentral:lncRNA from 1 species
GCUAAAGGGCCACUUGGCAAGUAGCCACAGAGUAAUGGACACUGUGAAACAGCAUGGCAGGAAUUCCAGAGUCACAGCACAGCCCCUUGUGACGUUUGUUCAUCUCUAACCAUGAAGUAGCCCAAGUAACAGGUUACUAAGGAAGCUGACACUUAGCCUUUUCGGCUAAGGGCCAGGGGGGAAAAUGAAAGGAGAAAGCCUCCCCUGGGAAAAAAGGGAGUGAUCCCAUUAUAAAUGAGAGUCAUACAGCAUCCUUCUGGAGGCAUGUUGAAAUUUCCCAUGGGAGGAAGAAGAAUAAACAAAGGCAGAAUGGAAGGAAUACUUAACAGGCCUGGAUUUACUGGGAAGGCCAAAAUGCCUGUGUAUGUUUCCUGCCUUUCCCCAAGUGGUAUUUGCAAUUCAUGUUUCUCCAGUGGAGUGCCACAGUCUCUCUCCAGCUGCUCAAAUCUGCAUGCUAGGUUUGGGCAGCAGAGAGAAAACAAUAUGCAGUGAUGGGAUAAAGAGUUUUCCUUUGACUAGAUACUUCAGUUAGCACUUUUGAAUUGGAAAGACUAUUUAAAAAACUCCGGAUACAGUCAUGGAAGUCAGCAAAACGAUUUGCACUGAUGCCUGGAUGAUGGUCCAAAUGUGUGCACUAAAGGUGAAUGCCUGAUUGUAUAAAUAUGAGAUUAGCAUGUGCUCCCAAAGGCAGUCUUCAAGACAUCCUUGGAUUACCCUACUCAGUAAAAUCCAUAAGCGAGUACGACUAAAACAGAAAUAGGCUAAAUAAGUAUUUGUUUAUAUGUGUGCUCAAAGUUUGUACAUGAGUAUUCUACACAAGGAAAUACUUGAACAGUUAGUUUGAUGGUUAAGGUGCCAGUAGAUGGCACUAGAGAAUACAUUCCAUGGUUCUGCAGGUCCUGUUUUGUAGGAUCAAUAACCGUGGUGGUGUGCCCUGUGAAUGAUUUCUGUCUGUAGCUCUUUACAUGGUGCUCUUAAUGAAAGUUAGGCCUCUUUUAAGUGCAUUGCUAAAACAGGGCCUAAGGCACCUGCAUUUAAAAACUGCUACACUGUAGAUGUGAACUGUACAUCUUUUUCUACUGAAGGUCGAAAACUUAUUCUAGUUUCUCAGUUCUUGUUUUGCUUGUGCAAUUUUUUCAAAACAUAGACCAUUUCAAAUGAAUGUGUUCAUUUGAAUAUAUAAAAGGCUGCAAUUAGAAGAAUUAGAAUGGUACAAUUAGAGGAACCCUGCUUCCCAUUCUGAACAAAAGCAAUUUAGACAAAAAUCUACAGGAGCAGGUCAACUUUUGUUGAACAGCAUUCAAUUUCCUGUUUUAUGGGCACUACACUAAAUGCAGUCCAUUGCCUUUAAUUGAAAUAAAUGAACUGUUUGUCAGUCUCA